GCUGAAGAACGUAGCGAAAUGCGAUAAGUAAUGUGAAUUGCAGAAUUCAGUGAAUCAUCGAAUCUUUGAACGCACAUUGCGCCCCUUGGUAUUCCGAGGGGCAUGCCUGUUCGAGCGUCAUUAUAACCCCUCAAGCUCAGCUUGGUGUUGGGGCCUGCUGCACUGGCAGCCCUUAAAAUCAGUGGCGGCGCCAUCUGGCUCUAAGCGUAGUAAUUCUUCUCGCUAUGGAGUCCUGGUGGAUGCUUGCCAUCAACCCCCAAUUUUUCUAUGGUUGACCUCGGAUCAGGUAGGGAUACCCGCUGAACUUAAGCAUAUCAAUAAGCGGAGGA
rnacentral:misc_RNA from 1 species